rnacentral:rRNA from 1 species
ACCCAGUGUGUUUCGACACACUAUCAUUAACUGAAUCCAUAGGUUAAUGAGGCGAACCGGGGGAACUGAAACAUCUAAGUACCCCGAGGAAAAGAAAUCAACCGAGAUUCCCCCAGUAGCGGCGAGCGAACGGGGAGCAGCCCAGAGCCUGAAUCAGUAUGUGUGUUAGUGGAAGCGUCUGGAAAGGCGCGCGAUACAGGGUGACAGCCCCGUACACAAAAAUGCACAUGCUGUGAGCUCGAUGAGUAGGGCGGGACACGUGGUAUCCUGUCUGAAUAUGGGGGGACCAUCCUCCAAGGCUAAAUACUCCUGACUGACCGAUAGUGAACCAGUACCGUGAGGGAAAGGCGAAAAGAACCCCGGCGAGGGGAGUGAAAAAGAACCUGAAACCGUGUACGUACAAGCAGUGGGAGCACAGAGCAAUCUGUGUGACUGCGUACCUUUUGUAUAAUGGGUCAGCGACUUAUAUUCUGUAGCAAGGUUAACCGAAUAGGGGAGCCGAAGGGAAACCGAGUCUUAACUGGGCGUUAAGUUGCAGGGUAUAGACCCGAAACCCGGUGAUCUAGCCAUGGGCAGGUUGAAGGUUGGGUAACACUAACUGGAGGACCGAACCGACUAAUGUUGAAAAAUUAGCGGAUGACUUGUGGCUGGGGGUGAAAGGCCAAUCAAACCGGGAGAUAGCUGGUUCUCCCCGAAAGCUAUUUAGGUAGCGCCUCGUGAAUUCAUCUCCGGGGGUAGAGCACUGUUUCGGCAAGGGGGUCAUCCCGACUUACCAACCCGAUGCAAACUGCGAAUACCGGAGAAUGUUAUCACGGGAGACACACGGCGGGUGCUAACGUCCGUCGUGAAGAGGGAAACAACCCAGACCGCCAGCUAAGGUCCCAAAGUCAUGGUUAAGUGGGAAACGAUGUGGGAAGGCCCAGACAGCCAGGAUGUUGGCUUAGAAGCAGCCAUCAUUUAAAGAAAGCGUAAUAGCUCACUGGUCGAGUCGGCCUGCGCGGAAGAUGUAACGGGGCUAAACCAUGCAC